rnacentral:misc_RNA from 1 species
UCGGCGGCCUUUUAGCGAUUGCUUUGUCGAUUUGAUUUCAAGUUGUCCCUUGUGUUAUUCAAAGGUCACAUCGACAUCGUUUUGGUUAGAUCGACGCGUUGGCGUGUGAGUGGCUAAUUGAAUGUAUGUGUUGGCUGGCUCCUUGUUUGCGCAGCGAACUGUCGGCGCAUACAUAUUUCAGUCGGACGGAGUUGUGGGUUUCGGAUUUUUGUGUUGCCAACCACUUGAUGGAAUUCGUAUGUCCCUGAUGCGUAAGUUCGCCGAACAUCCCUUGAGGUGCUAGGCGAACGUCGAAGCUACCCCUUUUAUGCCGUGCGCUCCCUUUCUCGGGAACCAUGGAAAAUUGGCGGUGUUGCUUGUUGCCUCGGAUGUAGAGCAUGUAGCGAGCAUGUUGCCUGUACUCAUUGCUCAUUCAGAGCUCUCGAUUGCUCGGAAAGAGAGACCGCCGAGCUUUGUUUUUGCUGUCGACUUGUCGAUCUUGCUAGUAACUUUGCCGACGUCCUCAAUGAAUGCUACCUGGUUGAUCCUGCCAGUAGUCAUAUGCUUGUCUCAAAGAUUAAGCCAUGA